rnacentral:rRNA from 1 species
ACCUACGGGGGGCAGCAGUAGGGAAUUUUCGUCAAUGGGCGCAAGCCUGAACGAGCAAUGCCGCGUGAACGAGGAAGGUCUUCGGAUCGUAAAGUUCUGUUGAAGGGGAAAAAGAGCGGAGAGAGGUAAUGGUCUCCGAUUGAUAUUACCCUUCGAGGAAGUCACGGCUAACUACGUGCCAGCAGCCGCGGUAAUACGUAGGUGGCGAGCGUUAUCCGGAAUGAUUGGGCGUAAAGGGUGCGUAGGCGGCCUGCUAAGUCUGGAGUGAAAGGUACCGGCUCAACCGGUACAGGCUCUGGAAACUG